rnacentral:lncRNA from 1 species
UGUUUCUGGAUCUCAGUCCUGGCUACGUGGGUGACGUCACUUUGUGAAAACGUAAGAUUCAGACAGACUUCUGUAUGCUGUCCAUCAGUGCAAAACUCACUUAAAACUCUCAACGUGUGGUCCCCAUGGUUGUUUUAACGAAAGCUUGACAGAAAGACUAAGAGCUCUUAGAGGGAAUAUAAUGAGCAACACCCCCACCCCCUGCUGGGGCUUCUUGGAUCCAUUGCCCCAAAGCAAAGCCAACAAACCCUCCCUGACUUAAAAAAAAAAAGGGCUUUCUGGUGUAUGUGGUGUAUGUAUCCCCACAGGGCACCUUUUCUUUUGAGGAGGCUGAAGGUGGAAAGCUCAGUCUAGAGUGUAACCAACAAGCCCCUUCUUGAGUUCAGUUCUAGAAUGGUGAACAAUUUAAAUUUCAGUAUUAAACCAUCUAUAAAUGAGAUGUUUUAAAUCAUAAACAGGUAAAUAAUAAAUGUACUAUAGACUCCAUGGAAAAAAAUAAUUUCCUAUAGCAAAUAUGAUUUCUAAGAUAUGUGAUCCUCAUAUAAUUUUUGAUUUCCUGCAAAGAAACAAAAAUUUGUAAUUUUUUUCUGGGCCACACCCUCAGCAUGUGGAGAUUCCUGGACCGUGGAUCGAACCUGAGACACAGCAGGUGUCUGAAAUGACAACUGCCGGAUUCCCUAGCCUGCUGAGUCACUAAGGAACUCUUUAUAGUUAAUAGUUGAAUAUCUUGGGGGACCGUCUUGCUCUUCAGCCAACAUUGAGGAGAACUGCAAUUAAAUUUAAAUAGGUCUUCAGCCCUCCAGGCUAAUGCUCCUUGUUGAUUCAUUUCUUGAGGUCACUGGAAUACAAGCACUUCCAACUUUCUCUUAUCUUUGCUAAGGAGGAUGAGAGCCAGCACAGUACUUAGAAUUCUCAAAUUGCUUCUAUCAACAAGAUUAUUUCUGCACAAGCUUCAUUAUAAAAUGCCAUUGUGACCUCCAGCAUUUCUUUAAUUAUACUCAGCCCGAGAAAAAAAUUUGGAGGGUGGUUAUCAUUUUAGGUCAUAAUUUUAAGGGAGCCCAAAGGAUAAAGUUGCAUAUUGACUGAAUACAGCUUAUAUUUGACAACUUACUUCCUACCAAAAAAAAAAAAAAAACAAGAAGAAGAAGAAAGAAAAUUGAUACUCAACUCUGGUAGAGAAUAUUAAUGACAACAAGGACACCACCACCUUAAAAACAUAAACAAAUCAAAGAAAAUAAUAUAAAACUGCAAUGUAAUCUGGGUAGCUAAUAAAGAGAAAAUAUUGAUGCCCUUACUUUUAGGUCCAGGCUGGCAGCGUUUUUAUAUCAAAUUAGUUAAGUAAUAAAAAAAGAUGAUUUCAUGCACUGCUUUAGCCAUGCUAGUACUUAUGUUAAAAAAUUGGUUGGAGGAGUUCAACCGCAUAUGAAAUUAGUUCUCAUGUGAUCAGAAUCACAUAUGAAGAAUGGACUGUGGCAGAGGGACAGGAGGGGGAAAGACUAAAAGGAAGGAGCCAACAGUCACCGUUAUUUAUUUCUUUGUCAAAGGAUUAUUUAAUGCCACGCGGCGUCAGGCGCCGUGCCGGACUGCGAGGCGGCAGUGGUGAAUGGACAGCCCUUCCCUUAAAAGCCCCGGGUUCCCCAGGGAUGGGAAGCAGAAUGGACACAGCGACACCAGCCCUGAGAUAGGGCCUCUCACAGGAGAGGCCGCCAACCCUGAUCGGGAAGUGAAGGAAGCCUUUGGAGAAGGCAAACAUGAGAUGGAAAAGACAGAUGCAAGGAGUGGGAAAAUGGGAAGCGUGUUUCAGUGAGAGGAAGUAGCAUGUUUGGGGAAGUCUAAGUUGUUAGGAGGCAAUUGCCAGGCCAAGGCGAGAAGCAAGGAGGGUCUGGAUUAGGGCCAAGAAGAUGGCAAACCCGAGAAGGUGGUGAGCGGGGAGAGAUUAGACAUGGGAGGUGAUGGAGAUGCUCGUGUUUGGCCCGGGGCAAUGCCACUGGUAGGGUGGGGGGAGGAUUUUCUUGCGGGUGUGGUGCAUUUUGGAGAAAUGCAAUCAUUUUUGGACUGGCUGCGUUUGAGGUCCGGUGGAAGAUCCAGGUGAAGUUAAGAAGGCAUUUGCAGGUAAUAGCUCAGAAGUUUUUGUUCCAGAUACAGAUACAGGAGACAUAGAACAAAAGGAGAUAACAAAGCCAAAGGAUGGAAUUAUCUAAGUGAAGGGCAAAAUUUUCAAAAAUAGCAAUAUUUAAGGGUUAGGUAGAGUGUACAAAACUUGUGUGACUGGUGUGACCUUCACAAGUUGGGGUUCAAGUAUGAUCCCAUCUCUUGUUUAGCAAGUUGUGUCCAUACUUUGCAAAGUUUCCAUGAUUUUCUUCCUCAAAAAUUUCCACUAAUGGUAGGUGCUGAUUCAGCCCAAGGAGAGGGAGCUUUGUGGGUCAGUCCAUUCCAAGCAUCAAGUGGAGAGCGCACUGGAGUCUGAUAAGUCCACUGCCUUUGUUUCUCAAGUCCCCAGUGUAUAAGCGUUGAAGAUGAAUCCUGCAGUUUGAUGGAUGAUGUUGGGAUGCCCAAGCUGGCCUGAUAGAUGGUGUGCAGACCACAAUGGGUCGGUGAAUGUUGAAUCUGAAAGGAUGAAAAUGCAGCCUAACCCUCCAAGACCCCAAAAAGGUAGUAAAGAGCCCUAACUCCAGCUUCCUAAAAAGCCCUAGGUGCCCCCGAAUUCCAGACCCUGCUCCCUGCCAGUCAAUAAGUAGAAGGUCACACUUCUUGCUGUUCCAGGGCCUGCUAUCCUGGCCUAAGUAAGAUAACAGGAAGUGAGUUGACUAAUCACUUAUCUGGAUUCUAUAAAACUGCUGGCACCAUAGAAGAAUUGAUUACACAUUGAAAGCCCUAGUGACCUAUCUCAACUGCAAUCUGUCACUCUGCCCAGGUAGCCCGUGCAAAUGCGGACCUCCGGAACUGUAGAAAAAAUGAUGGGUCCACGGAGCGCGGGCUCUCGAUGUUUUAAAAUGAUUGGUUUGGGAAGCGCGGGCUUUGUUGUGAACCCCAUAAAAGCUGUCCCGAUUCCGCACUUGCCGCCGCAGUCCUC